rnacentral:rRNA from 1 species
CCUACGGGUGGCAGCAGUGAGGAAUAUUUGUCAAUGGGCGCAAGCCUGAACCAGCCAAGUCGCGUGAGGGAAGACGGCCCUACGGGUUGUAAACCUCUUUUGCCGGGGAGCAAGCCUUAGCACGUGUGCCCAGGCUGAGCGUACCCGGAGCAAAAGCAUCGGCUAACUCCGUGCCAGCAGCCGCGGUAAUACGGAGGAUGCGAGCGUUAUCCGGAUUUACUGGGUGUAAAGGGGGCGCAGGCGGGCUGUUAAGCCGGCGAUGAAAAUUCAGGGCUAAACUCUGUCUAGCCGUCGGAACUGGCAGUCUAGAGUGGACGAGAGGUAUGCGGAAUGCGAGGGGGAGCGGUGGAAUGCAUAGAUAUCACGAAGAACUCCGAUUGCGAAGGCAGCAUACCGGCGCUCAACUGACGCUCAUGCACGAAAGUGUGGGUAUCGAACAGGAUUAGAUACCCGGGUAGUC